rnacentral:rRNA from 1 species
GACGGAAGGUGCAAGCGUUGCUCGGAAUCACUGGGCGUAAAGGGUGCGUAGGCGGCCGUGCAAGUCUGGUGUGAAAGCCCCGGGCUCAGCCCGGGAAGUGCGCUCGAAACUGCGCGGCUCGAGUGCCGGAGGGGAGAGUGGAAUUCCUGGUGUAGCGGUGAAAUGCGUAGAUAUCAGGAGGAACAUCAGUUGCGAAGGCGGCUCUCUGGACCAGCACUGACACUGAGGCACGAAAGCGUGGGGAGCAAACAGG